rnacentral:tRNA from 1 species
GCCUGGGUGCCUCAGUUGGUUGAGCAUCUGACUUUGGCUCAGGUCAUGAUCUCACAGUUCAUGGGUUCAAGCCCCACUUUGGGCU